rnacentral:rRNA from 1 species
UACGAAGGGUGCAAGCGUUACUCGGAAUUACUGGGCGUAAAGCGUGCGUAGGUGGUUUGUUAAGUCUGAUGUGAAAGCCCUGGGCUCAACCUGGGAGUUGCAUUGGAUACUGGCAGGCUAGAGUGCGGUAGAGGGGUGUGGAAUUCCCGGUGUAGCGGUGAAAUGCGUAGAGAUCGGGAGGAACACCAGUGGCGAAGGCGGCACCCUGGACCAGCACUGACACUGAGGCACGAAAGCGUGGGGAGCAAACAGG